AACGCACAUUGCGCCCCUUGGUAUUCCGGGGGGCAUGCCUGUUCGAGCGUCAUUACAACCCUCAAGCCUGGCUUGGUAUUGGGCUUCGCCACUAACCUGGCGGGCCUUAAAAUCAGCGGCGGUGCCCCUGAGGCCCUAAGCGCAGUAAACAUCCUCGCUAUAGGGACCCGGUGGUUACUGGCCAGCAACCCCAACUUUCUAAAGUUUGACCUCGGAUCAGGUAGGGAUACCCGCUGAACUUAA
rnacentral:misc_RNA from 1 species